rnacentral:rRNA from 1 species
CGGCGACGGGUGAGUAACGCGUGGGGAACCUGCCCUAUACAGGGGGAUAACAGUUAGAAAUGACUGCUAAUACCGCAUAAGCGCACGGAGCCGCAUGGCCCUGAGUGAAAAACGAUAGUGGUAUAGGAGGGACCCGCGUCUGAUUAGGUAGUUGGUGGGGUAACGGCCCACCAAGCCGACGAUCAGUAGCCGACCUGAGAGGGUGACCGGCCACAUUGGGACUGAGACACGGCCCAAACUCCUACGGAAGGCAGCAG